rnacentral:sRNA from 1 species
CCCAUCUUCUGAUGCUGGAAACAGAAGAAAGUGACUGGCUUCAAGUCUGAGUUCUCAGAAAGAUGAGAAAAGUCCAGGGGUUUUAAAUUAUUUCCUCAUCCUUUCCUCAUUCAGAUUUAGCAGCAAGGUCUGGAGUACAUAGAGUUCAUGGGCCAUGCCAGCACCAACAUUCUGACCUCGGAUAACAUUCUGCUUUCAUGAACAAAGCAUUGAUUAGAGCGAUAGCAUUCUUCUGUACAUCUGCACUUUUACUACAAUUUAAGGAAGAAAA